UUUCUUUGGUGGUGGUGGGGAAUGGUAAACUGGAGGGGGAGAGUAGUGCUUCACCGGUGGUGGUGGAGAUUUGUACACGUAGUGUUUCUUUGGUGGGGGUGGGGAAUGGUAAACCGGAGGAGGAGAGUAGUGCUUAACUGGAGGAGGAGGAGAUUUGUACACGUAGUGUUUCUUUGGUGGUGGUGGGGAAUGGUAAACCGGAGGAGGAGAGUAGUGCUUAACCGGAGGAGGAGGAGAUUUGUACACGUAGUGUUUCUUUGGGGGUGGUGGGGAAUGGUAAACCGGAGGAGGUGAGUAGUGCUUCACCGGUGGUGGUGGAGAUUUGUAGACGUAAUGCUUUUUAGGUGGGGGUGGGGAAUGGUAAACCGGAGGGGGAGAGUAGUGCUUAACCGGAG
rnacentral:lncRNA from 1 species